rnacentral:rRNA from 1 species
UACGGAGGGAGCUAGCGUUGUUCGGAAUUACUGGGCGUAAAGCGCGCGUAGGCGGCUUUGUAAGUUAGAGGUGAAAGCCCGGGGCUCAACCCCGGAACUGCCUUUAAAACUGCAUCGCUUGAAUCCAGGAGAGGUGAGUGGAAUUCCGAGUGUAGAGGUGAAAUUCGUAGAUAUUCGGAAGAACACCAGUGGCGAAGGCGACAUACUGGCCCAAUACUGACGCUGAGGCUCGAAAGCGUGGGGAGCAAACAGG